GGAUGUGAGGGCGAUCUGGCUGCGACAUCUGUCACCCCAUUGGUCGCUAGGGUUGAUUCGGCUGAUCUGGCUGGCUAGGCGGGUGUCCCUCCCUCAUCGCUCCAUGUGCAUCCCUCCCGAAGCUGCAUGCUAGGUCAAAGAGGACGACCUUCCCCGAUAGAGGCGUACUGUUCAUCAGUCAAGGGGAAACAGUAGCUGCAUUCCCCUGCUAGAACCUCCAAACAAGCUCGAGGUCCAUUUCUAGGAGAACGUAGGGUAGUCAAGCUUCCA
rnacentral:snRNA from 1 species